rnacentral:rRNA from 1 species
GACGAACGCUGGCGGCGUGCUUAACACAUGCAAGUCGAACGGCGAACGAGGGAGCUUGCUCCCUCCGGAACAGUGGCGAACGUGUGUGUAACACGUGCGCAAUCUGCGCCGCACGCGGGGAUAAGCGUUGGAAACGACUUCUAAUACCGGAUAAGACUCGGGAGGGCAUCCUCUCUGGGUGGAACGAACUGCGGCUCGGGUUGGGAUCGCGUCGUUUCGGCUUGUGGGUGAGGUAACGCCCCACCAAGGGGAGGUCGGUUAGCGGGCCCGAGAGGGGGACCGGCCACACUGGGCCUGCGACACGGCCCAGACUCCUACGGGAGGCAGCGGUGGGGAAUGUUGCACAAUGGGCGCAAGCCUGAUGGAGCAACGCCGGGUGAGGGACGCCGGCCUUCGGGUUGUAAACCUCUUUUAGCAGGGAAGAAGCGAAAGUGACGGUACCUGCAGAAAAAGCAACGGCUAACUACGUG